CCACCAAGGCGAUGAUGCGUAGCCGGCCUGAGAGGGUGCACGGCCACAUUGGGACUGAGACACGGCCCAAACUCCUACGGGAGGCAGCAGUAGGGAAUUUUCGUCAAUGGGGGGAACCCUGAACGAGCAAUGCCGCGUGAGUGAAGAAGGUCUUCGGAUCGUAAAGCUCUGUUGUAAGAGAAAAAGGGCGCAUAUAGGAAAUGAUAUGCGAUUGAUGGUAUCUUACCAGAAAGCCACGGCUAACUAC
rnacentral:rRNA from 1 species